GAUGAACGCUGACAGAAUGCUUAACACAUGCAAGUCGAUGGGGAAGUGGUGCUUGCACCCUGGUAACCAUGGCGGACGGGUGAGUAACGCGUAAGGAACUUACCUGCGGGACCGGGAUAACAGCAGGAAACUGCUGACAAGACCGGAUAAGGUCAUUAAGCUGCAUAGCUUAGUGAUGAAAGGAGACGCCUGCGGAGAGCCUUGCGUCCUAUUAGCUAGUUGGAGGGGUAACGGCCCACCAAGGCGAAGAUAGGUAGCCGGCCUGAGAGGGUGGACGGCCACAAGGGGACUGAGAUACGGCCCUUACUCCUACGGGAGGCAGCAGUGGGGAAUAUUGGACAAUGGGGGCAACACUGAUCCAGCAAUUCUGUGUGCACGAAGACGGUUUUCGGAUUGUAAAGUGCUUUCAGCAGGGAAGAAGGAAGUGACGGUACCUGCAGAAGAAGCGACGGCUAAAUACGUG
rnacentral:rRNA from 1 species